GACGAACGCUGGCGGCGUGCUUAACACAUGCAAGUCGAACGGAAAGGCCCUGCUUGCAGGGUACUCGAGUGGCGAACGGGUGAGUAACACGUGGGUGAUCUGCCCUGCACUUCGGGAUAAGCCUGGGAAACUGGGUCUAAUACCGGAUAUGACCUUCCAUGUAGUGUGUGGGGUGGAAAGAUUUAUCGGUGUGGGAUGAGCCCGCGGCCUAUCAGCUUGUUGGUGGGGUAAUGGCCUACCAAGGCGUCGACGGGUAGCCGGCCUGAGAGGGUGGACGGCCACAUUGGGACUGCGAUACGGCCCAGACUCCUACGGGAGGCAGCAGUGGGGAAUAUUGCACAAUGGGCGGAAGCCUUAUGCAGCGACGCCGCGUGGGGGAUGACGGCCUUCGGGUUGUAAACCUCUUUCGACAGGGACGAAGCUUCGGUGACGGUACCUGUAUAAGAAGCACCGGCUAACUACGUG
rnacentral:rRNA from 1 species